ACGUAGGGUGCGAGCGUUAAUCGGAAUUACUGGGCGUAAAGCGUACGCAGGCGGCUGGGAAAGACAGGGGUGAAAUCCCCGAGCUUAACCUGGGAACUGCAUUUGAGACUGUCUAGCUUGAGUUUGGCAGAGGGGGGUGGAAUUCCAGGUGUAGCGGUGAAAUGCGUAGAUAUGUGGAGGAACACCGAUGGCGAAGGCAGCCUCCUGGGACAAUACUGACGCUGAGGCGCGAAAGCGUGGGGAGCAAACAG
rnacentral:rRNA from 1 species